UGAUCCUGGUUUGUCCUGCCAGUAGUCAUACGCUCGUCUCAAAGAUUAAGCCAUGCAUGUGUAAGUAUAAAUAUUUUACUUUGAAACUGCGAAUGGCUCAUUAUAUCAGUUAUAGUUUAUUAGAAAGAGUUUACUACUUGGAUAACCGUAGUAAUUCUAGGGCUAAUACAUGAAUGAAUCCUCGACUUUGAAGAGGUGUGUUUAUUAGUAUGAAAACCAUAUGCUUCGGCAUGAUAGUGAGUAAUAAUAACCUUUCGUAUCGCCUGUCUUUGAUAGCGAUAGUUCUUUCAAGUUUCUGCCCUAUCAGCUUUCGAUGGUAGUGCAUUGGACUACCAUGGCAGUAACGGGUAACGAAGAAUUUGGGUUCGAUUUCGGAGAGGGAGCCUGAGAGAUGGCUACCACAUCCAAGGAAGGCAGCAGGCGCGUAAAUUACCCAAUCCUGACAGAGGGAGGUAGUGACAAUAAAUCACAAUGCGGGACUUUUUAGUUUUGCAAUUGGAUUGAGAACAAUGUACAAGAGUUAUCGAUAAACAAUUGGAGGGCAAGUCUGGUGCCAGCAGCCGCGGUAAUUCCAGCUCCAAUAGCGUAUAUUAACGUUGUUGCAGUAAAAAAAGCUCA
rnacentral:rRNA from 1 species